AUGUACCAUAUGACCGAAUGCAC
rnacentral:siRNA from 1 species